rnacentral:rRNA from 1 species
AGAAUCAACGCUGGCGGCGUGCCUAACACAUGCAAGUCGCACGAGAAAGGGGAGCAAUCCCUGAGUACAGUGGCGCACGGGUGAGUAACACGUGAAUAAUCUACCUCCGAGUGGGGAAUAACUGAGAGAAAUCUUAGCUAAUACCGCAUAAUACCCACGGGUCAAAGCAGUAAUGCGCUUGGAGAGGAGUUCGCGGCAGAUUAGUUAGUUGGCGGGGUAAUGGCCCACCAAGACGAUGAUCUGUAUCCGGCCUGAGAGGGCGCACGGACACACUGGAACUGAAACACGGUCCAGACUCCUACGGAGGCAGCAGUGGGGAAUUUUGCGCAAUGGGGGAAACCCUGACGCAGCAACGCCGCGUGGAGGAUGAAGCCCCUUGGGUGUAAACUCCUUUCGAUCGGGAAGAUAAUGACGGUACCGAUAUAAGAGCCCGGCUAACUCGCGCCAGCAGCCGC